rnacentral:rRNA from 1 species
CCUACGGGAGGCUGCAGUGAGGAAUAUUGGUCAAUGGGCGCUAGCCUGAACCAGCCAAGUAGCGUGAAGGAUGACUGCCCUAUGGGUUGUAAACUUCUUUUGUAUGGGAGUAAAGUGCAGUAUGUAUACUGCUUUGCAUGUACCUCAUGAAUAAGGAUCGGCUAACUCCGUGCCAGCAGCCGCGGUAAUACGGAGGAUGCGAGCGUUAUCCGGAUUUAUUGGGUUUAAAGGGGGCGUAGGCGGGUUGUUAAGUCAGAUGGGAAAGUUUGCGGCUCAACCGGAGAAUUGCAGUUGAUACUGGCAGCCUUGAGUGCAGGAGAGGUAGGCGGAAUUCGUGGUGUAGCGGUGAAAUGCUUAGAUAUCACGAAGAACUCCGAUUGCGAAGGCAGCCUGCUGGACUGUAACUGACGCUGAUGCUCGAAAGUGUGGGUAUCAAACAGGAUUAGAUACCCCUGUAGUC